ACAUCUUUUAGAACUAAGAAAACUACAAAGAAACACAGUCAACACAAUUUUUUCAUACCAGGAUUGCUUUUUCUUCGGUUAUGGAGCACAGAACCAAGUAGAUCGUCAUGCGGAGUUACGGCAAGCAUAUAUGUUUAAUUACUACCUAGCAACAAAAUGUAAAGAAAAUGUCAGUGGUUUAUUUCAUCAUGUUCUCUCAAUCAGUCGUCACUUCCGGGUUAGCAAGAGAAUGUGCCUGGACUCUCUAGCCAACAAAUCGACAAAGUAUUCAAUCAACGCAUUUUCUCCAUAUAUAUUCAAUAUCUACUUAGCAACAACAACAACAAAAAAACACUCAGCACUUUUUUUUAAUUAAGUUCCCUCAAUCAGCCAUCACUUCCGGGCUAGCAAGAGAAUGUAGCUGAACUCUUUAUCGAACAAAUCAACAAAGUAUUCAAUCAACGCAUUUUCUCCAUAUAUAUAUUCAAUUUCUACUUAGCAACAACAACAAAAAAAAACACUCAGCACUUUUUUUUAAUUAAGUUCCCUCAAUCAGCCAUCACUUCCGGGCUAGCAAGAGAAUGUAGCUGAACUCUUUAUCGAACAAAUUAACAAAGUAUCUAAUCAACUUUUUUUUCUUCUUCAGAUACAAUACUAGCGGACUUUUUUUUCAUUAUUUUUUCGCGGCGCUGGCAAAAAGGGCGCCGCUGUGUUGAUUGGCUCUGUGUCUAAGCCGAGUUAAUCUUCAUCCUUCGCGGCCUGACAUGAGCCCGUCGCACCUGCCGCCAGCCCACAGCAUCAGCCUCACGCGUGUUGUGCCCCACCAAGAGUCUUAACCAAGGAGGAUCAGUUUAGGGAAGUUUUGUGCGCUAGACUUUCCUUCCCUUCCCUUCCUGUUCCCUGGCCCGAGUGAUGUACAGCUUCCUGGUUCAUGGGUUUGGUUCACGGGCGACAAGGCGAACCACUCCCUGCAACACACACCCAGACAACGAGUAGUGGAAGCCGAGGGAGUAGAUUCCAAUACGAUUUUUGUGGAGAUGAUCAAGAGGAAGGGUAGCGGAUAAAAGUGAGGUUGAAUACAGGAACACGCGUCGGCUCAACCCACUCCACGACACUCAGGGAGGUUGUAAGUGAUGGAAGGCGAGGGAUGAUGCCCCAACCUGAUCCCCUUGGAAGAUGAAGAGGAAGGGGACGCGCAGAGCGGAAGGUGAUUGCUGGUGACACAGAAUUGCCUUAACCCUCAACUUGUUCCUCGUUUUGCAACCCAUUCAUUCCCUUCCACCAUCCAUUUCCUUCAUCCACCUAUUCCCUUCCUCUUAACACAACCAGGAAGUGAGUGAGGGACGCAAACCGAGAGAGUAAAGGCCCAAUAUGAUUCCUAUAGACGAUAAAGAGCGAGGAAAACAUAAGAAAUUGAAAGUGAAUCCAGGAAUCCAGCAAGCGAUAUAUGGCCCUCUUCAGACAACCAAGAAGGGAGUGAGGGAUGUAAGGAGAGGGAGGAAGCGCCCAAUAUGAUUCCUAUAGGUAGUGAAGAGGGAAGAAAACAAGGAAGAAUUGAAGGUGAAUACAGGAAUCGAGCAAGCGAUAUAUGGCCCUCUUCAGACAACCAGGAAGGGAGUGAGGGAUGUAAGGCGAGGGAGGAAGCACUCAGUAUGAUUCCUAUAGGCAGUGAAGAGGGAAGAAAACAAGGAAGAAUUGAAGUUGAAUACAGGAAACGAGAAAGUGGCGUAUCAUAUCUGUAUACACGACCAGGAAGUGAGUGGAUGAGGGAUGCCAGGCGAGUGAGGAAGGACCCAAUGUGAUUUCUAUAGACAAAGAGUGAAGAAAACAUUUGAAAAGGAAGGUGAAUGCCAGAGACGAGGUAAUGGUGUUAAAUCCUAUUCACCAUACAAUAGAAAGCCCAAUAUGAUUCCUAUAGGCAAUGAAGAGUGAAGGAAAAAGGGAAGGUGUAUGCAGUUAGUGACGAUAUAGUGUCAAGUCCUCUUCACCAUACAAUAGAAAGCCCAAUUUGAGUCCUAAAGCAAAUUAAGUGUAAGGGAAGCGAAUGAAACGAAGGGUGAAUACAAGAAUACAGGAAGCGAAGAAUUAGUGUAAGGCCUCUUCAUUACGCACCCAGGACACGACGGCAUGACAAAAGGCGAGUAAUGAAGUUUGUGAACAAUUCCUGUAGGCCUCGUAGCGUCAAGAAAGAACACGACACAAAAGUUAGAGACACAAGAUUCUACUCCGCCGUCACGCCCAGGCCGGCAGCGAUUGAGUGAGUGAAUCAGCGACAUAAAACUUUGACACGCGGCCCAUGAACUAUGAAUGGGUUUUUGCUAUGGCGUCUUGUACCUGAUAUAUAGAACGCGUAGUCUCAGCAAGGUAUUAAAAAGGCAUACCAUUCUCUCCCUCUAGUUUCAAGGCAAUACAUAAGACAGCAAGGGAGGAAUGAGGGCUUCCCACGCUUCCUAUGGGCUUUAGAGUAGAGUGCAUCACCUUCUUGCCCUAUAAAGCAGAGGAUAAGCUGAAGAUAACACGCUUGCCCAUCCCUGCAACACCGUCUGGGAGUGAGUGAUGGACCCCCGACACGCCGCCGAAGACUGAGGCCAAUAUCUCCUUCCUUCGCUAUAAAAACCAAAUGCGCCUAGGAUAACAAGUGACGAUAGGGCUCAAAGGACUUCAAUCUCGAGGUGUAAGUUUGCCUACCUGUCCCGUCUCCGCCCCAGCCUCUGCCGCCCCCUCACAGCCCCACCGGAGUCCCGUCACAGCCAAUGGAAAAACGAAGUAGAUGUAAUGUCACUGGUACGGGUAUAUGGAUUACGUGAAAGUGUCGCCUGGAUGGUUUGAACUCCCACUGUGGUCUUGACGCGGCGCACACACCCUUGACUCAUUGACGGCGCUUCGCAGACUACAUGAAGG